CUACAGGUGUGCUAGGCGAGUAUCCGAAGGCGUUCGGGAGAACCCUCGUGAAGGAACUCGGCAAAAUGACCCCGUACCUUCGGUACAAGGGGUGCUCUCCGCAAGGAGAGCCGCAGAGAAUCGGCUCUAGCGACUGUUUAUCAAAAACACAGGACUCUGCCAACUCGCAAGAGGACGUAUAGAGUCUGACGCCUGCUCGGUGUCGGUAGGUUAAGGGAGCCGAUGAGGCGCGAGCCGAAGUUGGCGACCGAAGCCCCGAUAAACGGCGGCCGUAACUAUGACGUCCUAAGGUAGCGAAGUUCCUUGUCGGGUAAGUUCCGACCUGCAUGAAUGGCGUAACGACUGGAGCACUGUCUCCACGAGGGACCCGGUGAAACUGUAGCCGUGGUGAAGAUGCCACGUACCCGCGGUCAGACGGAAAGACCCCGUGAACCUUUACUGCAGGUUGGCAUUGGGUCAGCGUCCUUUCUGUGUAGCAUAGGUGGGAGGCCGUGAUCCGGCGGCGCCAGCCGUCGGGGAGCCAUCGGUGAAAUACCACCCUGAAAUGACUCUGAUCCUCACCGGUCCGUAGCCCGGACCGGGACCAUGCUCAUCGGGCAGUUUGACUGGGGCGGUCUCCUCCCAAAGCGUAACGGAGGAGUGCAAUGGUACCCUCGGCCAGGUCGGCAAUCUGGCAACAUGAGCGCAAACGUAGAAGGGUGCCUGACUGCGAGACCCAUCAGUCGAGCAGGGACGAAAGUCGGCGUUAGUGAUCCGGCGGUGCUGGAUGGAAAGGCCGUCGCUCAACAGAUAAAAGGUACUCCGGGGAUAACAGGCUGAUCUCCCCCGAGCGUCCAUAGCGGCGGGGAGGUUUGGCACCUCGAUGUCGGCUCAUCGCAUCCUGGGGCUGGAGAAGGUCCCAAGGGUUUGGCUGUUCGCCAAUGAAAGCGGUACGCGAGCUGGGUUCAGACCGUCGUGAGACAGGUCGGUCCCUAUCUGCCGUGGGCGGAGGAAACUUGCGAAGGGUCUCCCCUAGUACGAGAGGAUUGGGGAGGACCGACCUCUGGUGUACCGGCUGUCCCGCUCGGGGCACCGCCGGGUAGCUAGGUCGGGAAAGGAUAAGCGCUGAAGGCAUCUAAGCGCGAAGCCCUCUUCAAGACGAGGUUUCCAGCACGCAAGUGCGAAGGCUCCUGGAAGACGACCAGGUCGAUAGGCCGGGAGUGCACGGCGAGUGAUCGCCGCAGCCGACCGGUCCUAACAGCCGAUCGCUUGACCAC
rnacentral:rRNA from 1 species